rnacentral:lncRNA from 1 species
GUGGUUAUGAAAGCGCAUUGGCCAAGCUGGCUUUCCUUCCUCUGACCCCCAUCUAACUAUGGUGAACGCCCUCGUUGGGAUGAGGCUCCCAGGCUCCUGAUAGCAGGUAGAGGAGAGAACGAGACCGCAAAGAGGGAAGCCGAGAGGAGUGAUGAAGACCCUGGCCCUACCAUCUACUCAGGCUGUCUUUGCAGCCACACUGUGAGCCCAGGCUGGUUAACGCUUCCUCCUGGAGGAGAAAAGCUAAGAGAGAAAACAAAAUCCAUGCAGCGCGCUCCCCCUCGGCCCCUCCUCUCUGUCUCCUCUGUGCGCUAACCUCCAAUGCCCUGCGGGAACCAAUUACAGUAUUCUAAUGAGUGU